UCCAGAGUUGCUUUCACCCCAUCCCUCCCUAUCUCUCCAGGAAAGUAAGGUUGUUUAGUGGCAACAUGAGUCAAGGGUGCAGUCUUACCAGCAUAGCUGUGACACGUUCUACAUGCAUCUGCAUCUACAUACUUGCGUGUACCUCAUCGAUGCUGAACAGCUAAACUGUAGAACAAAAAUGCUUAAAUGCCCCUGAAGCCUGGUGAUAUUACUUGGGAGGAACCUCAGUGGUGAGUUUUAUGCCUACGAGAAGUGUUGGGAAGACAACCCUGGAAAAUGAAAACUUUUGUUCUUUAUACGAGGUGUCAUACACAUGGCAGGGUGGAAGAUUCACCUAUGGAGUGUGGGGAAAUGAGAUGGAUGCUCAGUCCCAGAGCUUCUUCACAUCUAGUCUGUCUACUGAAUUUAUCAAUAAGCCCACCGACUGUGAUGGUGCUUUUUCAGGCACGCCUGGAAAUCACAGUUGAAUUUAAUGUAACAUUGACACUUCAGUGAAUCAGUUUCUCUAAAUGCCAUGCUGAGCAGAUAAGUCUUGUCAGCCAGUUUGGGUCAAGUCAGUCACCUGAUCCUCGACUUAUAGCUUGUGGGAGUGGAGUACGACAAAUGAAGUCAUCAAAAAAGCACAAAGGUCUUGUGUCCUUGUGGGCAGAAGUGGAGGUGUAAGAGGAGCAAUGUAUUCAAAAUCAAUCAAUAAAUCAAAGAUUCUGGUCCUGG